rnacentral:rRNA from 1 species
GGCGUACGGGUGCGUAACGCGUAUGCAACCUACCUUCAGCAGGGGGAUAGCCCGUGGAAACAUGGAUUAAUACCCCAUAAAGCAGGGGUCUCGCAUGGGACUAUUUGCUAAAGAUUUAUCGGCUGGAGAUGGGCAUGCGUCUGAUUAGUUAGUUGGUGAGGUAACGGCUCACCAAGGCGAUGAUCAGUAGGGGUUCUGAGAGGAUGAUCCCCCACACUGGUACUGAGACACGGACCAGACUCCUACGGGAGGCAGCAGUAGGGAAUAUUGGGCAAUGGGCGAGAGCCUGACCCAGCCAUGCCGCGUGCAGGAAGACGGCCUUCUGGGUUGUAAACUGCUUUUAUCAGGGAAGAAAGAGGUGCUGCGGCGCCAGUUGACUGUACCUGAUGAAUAAGCACCGGCUAACUCCGUGCCAGCAGCCGCGGUAAUACGGAGGGUGCAAGCGUUGUCCGGAUUUAUUGGGUUUAAAGGGUGCGUAGGCGGAUUAUUAAGUCAGUGGUGAAAGUCUGCGGCUCAACCGCAGGAGUGCCAUUGAUACUGGUAGUCUUGGGUACAGUA